AUGAACGCUGGCGGCGUGCCUAAUCUAUGCAAGUCGAGCGAACGGACGAGAAGCUUGCUUCUCUGAUGUUAGCGGCGGACGGGUGAGUAACACGUGGAUAACCUACCUAUAAGACUGGGAUAACUUCGGGAAACCGGAGCUAAUACCGGAUAAUAUUUUGAACCGCAUGGUUCAAAAGUGAAAGACGGUCUUGCUGUCACUUAUAGAUGGAUCCGCGCUGCAUUAGCUAGUUGGUAAGGUAACGGCUUACCAAGGCAACGAUGCAUAGCCGACCUGAGAGGGUGAUCGGCCACACUGGAACUGAGACACGGUCCAGACUCCUACGGGAGGCAGCAGUAGGGAAUCUUCCGCAAUGGGCGAAAGCCUGACGGAGCAACGCCGCGUGAGUGAUGAAGGUCUUCGGAUCGUAAAACUCUGUUAUUAGGGAAGAACAUAUGUGUAAGUAACUGUGCACAUCUUGACGGUACCUAAUCAGAAAGCCACGGCUAACUACGUG
rnacentral:rRNA from 1 species